GGGACACGUGGUAUCCUGUCUGAAUAUGGGGGGACCAUCCUCCAAGGCUAAAUACUCCUGACUGACCGAUAGUGAACCAGUACCGUGAGGGAAAGGCGAAAAGAACCCCGGCGAGGGGAGUGAAAAAGAACCUGAAACCGUGUACGUACAAGCAGUGGGAGCCUCUUAAUGGGGUGACUGCGUACCUUUUGUAUAAUGGGUCAGCGACUUAUAUUCUGUAGCAAGGUUAACCGAAUAGGGGAGCCGAAGGGAAACCGAGUCUUAACUGGGCGUUAAGUUGCAGGGUAUAGACCCGAAACCCGGUGAUCUAGCCAUGGGCAGGUUGAAGGUUGGGUAACACUAACUGGAGGACCGAACCGACUAAUGUUGAAAAAUUAGCGGAUGACUUGUGGCUGGGGGUGAAAGGCCAAUCAAACCGGGAGAUAGCUGGUUCUCCCCGAAAGCUAUUUAGGUAGCGCCUCGUGAAUUCAUCUCCGGGGGUAGAGCACUGUUUCGGCAAGGGGGUCAUCCCGACUUACCAACCCGAUGCAAACUGCGAAUACCGGAGAAUGUUAUCACGGGAGACACACGGCGGGUGCUAACGUCCGUCGUGAAGAGGGAAACAACCCAGACCGCCAGCUAAGGUCCCAAAGUCAUGGUUAAGUGGGAAACGAUGUGGGAAGGCCCAGACAGCCAGGAUGUUGGCUUAGAAGCAGCCAUCAUUUAAAGAAAGCGUAAUAGCUCACUGGUCGAGUCGGCCUGCGCGGAAGAUGUAACGGGGCUAAACCAUGCACCGAAGCUGCGGCAGCGACACUAUGUGUUGUUGGGUAGGGGAGCGUUCUGUAAGCCUGUGAAGGUGGCCUGUGAGGGUUGCUGGAGGUAUCAGAAGUGCGAAUGCUGACAUAAGUAACGAUAAAGCGGGUGAAAAGCCCGCUCGCCGGAAGACCAAGGGUUCCUGUCCAACGUUAAUCGGGGCAGGGUGAGUCGACCCCUAAGGCGAGGCCGAAAGGCGUAGUCGAUGGGAAACAGGUUAAUAUUCCUGUACUUGGUGUUACUGCGAAGGGGGGACGGAGAAGGCUAUGUUGGCCGGGCGACGGUUGUCCCGGUUUAAGCGUGUAGGCUGGUUUUCCAGGCAAAUCCGGAAAACCAAGGCUGAGGCGUGAUGACGAGGCACUACGGUGCUGAAGCGACAAAUGCCCUGCUUCCAGGAAAAGCCUCUAAGCAUCAGGUAACAUCAAAUCGUACCCCAAACCGACACAGGUGGUCAGGUAGAGAAUACCAAGGCGCUUGAGAGAACUCGGGUGAAGGAACUAGGCAAAAUGGUGCCGUAACUUCGGGAGAAGGCACGCUGAUAUGUAGGUGAAGCGACUUGCUCGUGGAGCUGAAAUCAGUCGAAGAUACCAGCUGGCUGCAACUGUUUAUUAAAAACACAGCACUGUGCAAACACGAAAGUGGACGUAUACGGUGUGACGCCUGCCCGGUGCCGGAAGGUUAAUUGAUGGGGUUAGCGGCAACGCGAAGCUCUUGAUCGAAGCCCCGGUAAACGGCGGCCGUAACUAUAACGGUCCUAAGGUAGCGAAAUUCCUUGUCGGGUAAGUUCCGACCUGCACGAAUGGCGUAAUGAUGGCCAGGCUGUCUCCACCCGAGACUCAGUGAAAUUGAACUCGCUGUGAAGAUGCAGUGUACCCGCGGCAAGACGGAAAGACCCCGUGAACCUUUACUAUAGCUUGACACUGAACAUUGAGCCUUGAUGUGUAGGAUAGGUGGGAGGCUUUGAAGUGUGGACGCCAGUCUGCAUGGAGCCGACCUUGAAAUACCACCCUUUAAUGUUUGAUGUUCUAACGUUGGCCCGUAAUCCGGGUUGCGGACAGUGUCUGGUGGGUAGUUUGACUGGGGCGGUCUCCUCCUAAAGAGUAACGGAGGAGCACGAAGGUUGGCUAAUCCUGGUCGGACAUCAGGAGGUUAGUGCAAUGGCAUAAGCCAGCUUGACUGCGAGCGUGACGGCGCGAGCAGGUGCGAAAGCAGGUCAUAGUGAUCCGGUGGUUCUGAAUGGAAGGGCCAUCGCUCAACGGAUAAAAGGUACUCCGGGGAUAACAGGCUGAUACCGCCCAAGAGUUCAUAUCGACGGCGGUGUUUGGCACCUCGAUGUCGGCUCAUCACAUCCUGGGGCUGAAGUAGGUCCCAAGGGUAUGGCUGUUCGCCAUUUAAAGUGGUACGCGAGCUGGGUUUAGAACGUCGUGAGACAGUUCGGUCCCUAUCUGCCGUGGGCGCUGGAGAACUGAGGGGGGCUGCUCCUAGUACGAGAGGACCGGAGUGGACGCAUCACUGGUGUUCGGGUUGUCAUGCCAAUGGCACUGCCCGGUAGCUAAAUGCGGAAGAGAUAAGUGCUGAAAGCAUCUAAGCACGAAACUUGCCCCGAGAUGAGUUCUCCCUGACUCCUUGAGAGUCCUGAAGGAACGUUGAAGACGACGACGUUGAUAGGCCGGGUGUGUAAGCGCAGCGAUGCGUUGAGCUAACCGGUACUAAUGAACCGUGAGGCUUAACCUUACAACGCCGAAG
rnacentral:rRNA from 1 species